rnacentral:lncRNA from 1 species
AGAGGUUCUUAUAUCUGAGUAUAUAAUGGAAUCACCAAAGUGACUUUAAAAAUGAUCAGUGAGGAAGCCCCACUCCCCAGAGAUCUGACCUCAUUAUCCUGGGGUGGCAAGAUAGAGGUACAGCCUUCUGUGUGUUUGUUUGUUUGUUUGCUUGCUUGCUUGUUUGUUUUUAUGGCCCCACUUGCAGCAUAAGGAAGUUCCAGGCUAGGGGUUGAAUUGGGCCUGCAGCAGCAGGCCUGCACCAUAGCCAUAACAAUGCCAGAUCCGAGCCACGUCUGUGACCUAUACCACAUCUUGUAGCAACACCGGAUCCUUAACCCACUGAGACAGGCCAGGGAUCAAACCCACAUCUUCGCAGAGGCAAUGUUGGGUCCUUAACCCACUGAGCCACAUGGGAACUCCCUGUGUGCGUAGUUUUAAGUCUGCUAGUGAUUCCACUGUGACACCAAGGUGAAGAGUUGCUGCUACUCUAGAGGAAACUAGAAUCAGCUCGGGAGCACAAGGCAGUGCUAAAGGCCUGGCUGGGGAAGUGGAAAAGGAGCCAGGGAAAAGACUGGGAAAUGUAGUUUUAGGAAACAGGGGACAUUAGGAUUAGAGAGAGCGUAUUCCAUAAUAAACCAGGCAAAGAUUUUUUCCUAAGAAAUAAUUAGCUGCAGAGAGCUGGGUUAGAAAGCAGAACAGAUAUGAAAAUAGCUGCAGUCUGUCCAGACAUUGAAGUUCCCUGGUGGCCUAGUAGUUAAGAAUCUGGCAUUGUCACUGCUGCAGCGUGGGUUCAAUCCCUGGCCCAGGAACUUCUGCACACCAUGGGUGCAGCCAAAAAUAAAAUAAAAUAAAAUAAAAGCCACUAGAAGCAGUCUUCUCCCUCCUGGGGCCUGAGGACUUUUGAACAUGGAUUUGUCCUGUGCUGUGUAGGAAUGCAUCCCCAGGUAUGAACAACUGUAGACCUGGUUGCCAAGAAUUGCCCAGAGGCCACAGCCUAAUUUCUUUCCAUAGUUUUUCUGAUAGACCAGUGUCACCCUGUGAAUGUCACUUCCCAUUCUGAGUUGGAUGUAAGUAGAAGUCCACUUCUAUACUGAGGAGCGGAUCAAGAUGCUUCCAGUAGUCUCCAAGCAGGGGCGCUGUUCUAAUUAAGAGAUCAUGUAGGCGGCCUGGAAGUGUUACAGUUGGCCCCAAGCCUUCUGGAGUUUGAUUGCAGUUUCAGGAUUCUGUUGUUGAAGGAACAAGCCACUAAAUGUUCCUUCUGGGGAAAAAAAAUUUUUUAAGAGGUAAUUUUGUAUGAAAAGAAUGUGGUGUGUUGUUCACCAGGGUUUUCUGGCAAAUGAGAACAGAGAGAAAGAGAAUAGUAAGGGCAGAAGGUGGGCAAGAGAGAAAGCCUACACCUACAUGAAUAGAUCAGCAAGCACAGGGCCAUACAUUCUUUUUUUUCCCCUCUUUUGGCUACCCCAAGGCACAUGGAGUUCCCAGGCCACGCAUCAGAUCUGAGCCAAAGCUGUAACCUAUGCCGCAGCUGUGGCAACAUCAGCUCCUUAACCCACUGUGCCAGACCAGGGAAUGAACCUGAGACCCAGUGCUGCAGAGACACCUCUGAUCCCCUUGUACUACACCGGGAACUCCAGGGACCAUACACUGUAAUUUUUGUACCUCUUUUGAAAAUACUGGUCCGGUUGGCUGUGGCAUACCUCAGAAACAUAAGGGUCUUCAGCUAAUUACCAGCUUUGCAUAUUACAACCUGAUUCAAGACCUUGAUCUAGACCAGGAGGACCUUGUGUCCCCCAUUGCCCUUUCAUGCUGAGCCUCUGAUAAAUGCCAGAGCCUUAGGAACUGCCCCCUGGUACAUUCUGCUCCUGACAGCUCUCAGGUUAGUCAUGAGCCCAUGCUUGGGACUGACGUGGGUGCCCAUGUCCUUGGCUUCUCUGCCUCAGUUUAUGAGGCUGACACCUGGGUAGGGGAGUUUGUCAGAGGUGACCAGAUAUAAGAUGUCAUGUGAACCCAGAAGUAUGGCUUUGCUUGGAUCUUAGGAUACGCAUGGCUCCCAAGAACAGGCCUCUUUGUAGAAAUAUGCUGGUGAGCUUUGUGGGUGACUCAUACAGCUUAGGCGCCCCGUUCCCUCAGAAAUCCUAGAAUGCAUCCCUCUACCAUGUUCCUGGAGGCUGCAAAUGAUUAUUGUACUAGUUGUUUCAUAAGCAGUAGUAUAAACUUAAAUACCAAACCUCUUCAUUUUUCCUUUCUUCCUGUCUUCUUUGGUCUCUCUCUCUUUCCUUCUUUCCCUGCCCCCUCCCUCCUUUCCCUUCCCUCCCGUCCUUCUGUCCUUCCUUUCUUCCCUCCUUCCCUCCCUCUGUCCUUCUCUCUUUCCUUCCAUCCUUCCUUCCAUUCUUCCUUCCUUCCCUUUCUUCUUCACCCUCCCUCCCUCUCUCCUUCCUUCCCUCCUUCCCUCCCUCUCUCCUUCCUUCCAUUCUACCUUCCUUCCCUCCCUCCAUCUCUCCUUCCCUCCCUCCUUCCUUCCUUCCUGUUUACUAGGUAUUUACUAUACGUCAGCUUUGGCUUAGGCACUGUGGAUAAAGUGUAAGCUGCAAAGGACAUAGACAUGUUCUUAUGGAGUUUGCAGACCAGGGAGAACAGGGUGGCUGGCAAGGAGACAGAAGUGAAUCAAAUAAUGUCCUAAUGAAGGUAUAAUUAUAAACUCAUGCUAGUUCUCCUAAAGAAACAAAUACUUGUCCAUGAGGGUAUAUUAAAGAGCAGUGACUGGGGAAUCUGAAAAGGCUUCUUGGAUGAAGUUAUUCGGAAGCUGAGAUGUGAUGGGUGGAAAGAAUCCAAAAAGAGGAGGCAGCUUGUGUAAAGGCCCUUCAGUAAAAGGAAUCAUAAAGAACCUGGGAAGAGGAGCAUGGGGCUAGCAGGGAGUGAGGGGAGAAAGAAGGGUUGAGGCGGGAGAGAUGGGUGAGGUCGGAUCAUGUAGGGACUUGAGGGCUGCGUUAAAAUCUGUGAGAAGAUAUUGACUGGUUUUAAGUGGAGGUGAGUGACAGAGUUUUGAUUUGAAAAAAAAAUUACUCUGAUUGCUGUCUAGGGACACAUUGGGGAGAAGGAUGAAACAAAAGUGAGAAGACCAGUGAAAAGCUUAUUGUUGAAAUCUAGGCAAGAGAGGACAGUGGGUAAGAUUAACCAUGUUAGUGGGGAAAAUAUAGAUGCAGUUAAUUCCCAAGACGUCUAGCUUUACCAUGUAUAGUGUUGAUUGGAUUUGAGAUUGAGGAAGAAGGAGAAGUCAGGCAUGCCCCCGCUAGCCUUCUGUCCUGCAAAACUCCAAGAGGAGGACAAGGUUUGUUGUUGUUUGGCAUGAGUGUACAGUGCACACCAUGAGUUAAUUUUGACUGUCUUAAGUCUGAAUAUUUUUGGAAAACUUUAGAACAGAUGUUCACCAAGUACAGCCUCAAAGCUGACCUGUGAAAUUCCUUCCUGAUACACUCACAUACAAGUCUCCUAGAAGUAGCUGUCCAUCGCCCCCUGGAGGAACUUUCCACUUUGUAGUUUAUCUCCACUGAUGAUAGAGCCUUACCUGGAAGCAUGGUCCACCAUCCCGUGAGUUUAAUUUAUCCCUAGAACCAGGGGAUGUUGUGCUUCUGUCUCCAAACCCACAUGUAUAUCUGUACCCAGUUUAUCCUACCAGGGGCUGCUAUGGUUUUACGAGUCAUUUGGGGCAGUGGGAGAAAUCCUGAGUGGAUGAAAUUGAUUCCCAGUUGGACUCAGUCAUCACUGGCUGUGUGACUUGGCCAUUGCGAUUUCGCUAGAUCAAUAUUUCCUCCUGUGCGAGAGAAGCAGUUGAGCUAGACAGUCUGUAAGAGUCCUUCUGACUCUAAAAUCUCAUUGAUUCUAAUUUCUAAUCUCAAUCUGUACCAAUCAAGUCCCUUGGGGAAUGGAGAUAAAUGUUUCUAGGUAUAGGGAUUAAUCUUUGGCCUUUUCAGAAUCUGUCAUGUUUGGUUUUCCCAAAGGGACUUUAAUUAUCCAUCUUUCAUUUGUCAGCCUUAACCAGGUUACUUAUCAUUUCUAGCAACUUUUAAAUAGGGAGGGAGAAAUAUUUUUCUUAAAUGCCAGCUUUGACUCAUGGGCCAGGGUUCCCUGUUGAGGAUUUUGAUGCAGCAUCUUGGCUGAAAGGAGAAAGUUCCAUAAUUGACUGGUGAUGUCUGUCAUUGAUGUCUGAAGGGAAGUGGUGGCAUCUGAAAUGUCAUGUCUCCUCCCCACAGUUCUAAGAUCUGGUUCCUCUAUUUGCCCUGCCAAUGCAUGAGCACUCUCUGGUGGUUAAAAAAGUAAUUGCAGGAUUAUACUUUCCCAAAUUUAUUCUAGAACUGAAAUCUUGUAUUGUUUUAUUGUGUUGAAUUCUAAUGUCAUUUCCAACAAUUUGCUGGGAUAGUGAGGGGGGUGGCUAUAUGUCUAGGUCACUUUGUUUACUGGUGAACACAGUUUUGCACUUCCUGUGGAAAAUAUACUCUCCUUUUCUGUUUUCAAAAGGAAAACCUAAUGAAAUAAAUCUUUCUUUGUGGGUUGAAAAUCAUGUAGGAUCUCAGGGUUAGUCUUCCAAACUAGUACUUCUCACUUUAAUGUACAUAUUUAUCAAAUGGGAUCUUGUUAAAAUCCAGAUUCGUGGAAUCUAAUCCCAGAGAUUCUGAUUCAGUAGGUAUGGAUAGGUAUUCUGACAAGUCCUUUGUCUGGUACCACACUUAGAAUAGCUAAUGUCUCAGGAGUUGCUGCUGUGGUAUAGAGAGUUAAGGAUCCAGCGUUAUCUCUGCAACAGCUCAGGUUCAAUCCCCAGCCUGGUGCAGUGGGUUAAGGAUCCAGCAUUGCUACAGAUAUGGAAUAGGUUGCAGCUCUAACUCAUAUUUAAUCCCUGGCCGGGGGAACUUCCAUAUGCCAUGGGUGUG